rnacentral:rRNA from 1 species
AUGAACGCUGGCGGCGUGCCUAAUACCUGCAAGUCGAGCGAACAGACGAGGAACUUGCUCCUCUGACGUUAGCGGCGGACGGGUGAGUAACACGUGGAUAACCUACCUAUAAGACUGGGAUAACUUCGGGAAACCGGAGCUAAUACCGGAUAAUAUAUUGAACCGCAUGGUUCAAUAGUGAAAGACGGUUUUGCUGUCACUUAUAGAUGGAUCCGCGCCGCAUUAGCUAGUUGGUAAGGUAACGGCUUACCAAGGCAACGAUGCGUAGCCGACCUGAGAGGGUGAUCGGCCACACUGGAACUGAGACACGGUCCAGACUCCUACGGGAGGCAGCAGUAGGGAAUCUUCCGCAAUGGGCGAAAGCCUGACGGAGCAACGCCGCGUGAGUGAUGAAGGUCUUCGGAUCGUAAAACUCUGUUAUUAGGGAAGAACAAAUGUGUAAGUAACGAUGCACGUCUUGACGGUACCUAAUCAGAAAGCCACGGCUAACUACGUG